CCUAAGAAACUCGCCGGCGGAGUCGCCGGACUUGGUGGAACGGAAGCAGCUCCGGGACGAGCCGCCGUUUCUAGGGUGGGGGUCUGCCCCCCUAGUCUUCUGAAAUAAACGAGCGAGGAUCUCAUAUAGACCGUUCAUACUUCAAUCGAACGGGUCACACGCACCCGUGCCGUGCUUUCUCAGCCUCUGCGCCGACGACAAGGGUCAAGGGGGGAAGAGAAAGCCUCGCGUCUUCACCGGCCACGCGCGCCAUGUCCGAGACAGAAACGGCGGCGGCGGCGGCGACGUCGACGGAGCGGAAGCCCCGGCGGCUGCGGGGGCACAAGAAGGGCGCCGUCACCUGCUGCGUAGCGUCCUCCGCCCGCCCGGGCGUCGUCGCGUCCUCCGGCGAGGAUGGAUGUCUUUGCUGGUUUGAUUUGCGCACCAAAGAUGUGCUCUUGACCAUUGAGGCAGCAAAUAAACCUAUCUCUUCCAUCUGUUUUAAAUCAGGAAAUGAAGAUCAUGUGUAUGUAUCGGCUGGAAAUGAAAUCUUGUCCUUCGAUAUUCGUAUGGGAUCUCAAUCAAAGCCACUGGAGACAUAUAACUACAAUAGAGAUGAAAUCAACCAGAUUGCUGUGAGUUCUAAAGGCUAUCUUGCUGCUGCAGAUGACAGUGGGGAUGUUAAGAUUGUCAAUACCACUCAAAAGUGCUUGUACAAAAGAUUGAGGGAAGCCCACACAAGUAUUUGCAGCAGUGUACAAUUCAUUCCUUGGAGACCUUGGACAGCAAUUACUGGUGGCCUUGACUCAAAGCUUGCUGUGUGGGAUUUCUCCAAAGGGCGAGCACUAUUUUCUAUUGAUUAUGGAUCACCUGAAUUGCAAAAUAGCAAUUCUUCGGGUAGUACAGGGCAAUGUCUCAACCCUGCUUUCGUUCACUCGGUAGCAGUUUCUGAAGAGGGCAUUUUAGGUGGGUUGUAUAAAGUUUGUGCCGUUGCAAGGGGGGACGGUGUUGUUGAUGUAGUUGAUCUAGAAUAUGAAUUGGCCCCUGCAAAAUCAAAAGGCCCUUCUCGGGCAGGCGGUUUGGCCAUGAGCUCGAAAAGAAACGAUCUUGGGGAUGGGAGCAAUAAUCAAUGCCAAGGGAAAAGGAUCCAUCUUGAUUACUCAAUGGGUGGCCAUACUGCAGCUGUCUCCUGUGUCGUUUGGUGAGAAGGGGAAGUUCCUUGUUUCAGGUGGUAACGACGCAUCACUGAAAGUAUGGGAUUGGUCCAAAGGAUUUUCUCCUGAAACAAACAGCAAUAGUGAAUUGGUGUUGGAUAUUGAUGUGAAGAAAAAGGUAAAUUGGUUGUGUACUGCUCCAACUGAUUCAGAUAACCUGAUUGUGUGUGACACAUCCAAGGUGGUCAAAGUAUAUAAUUUCCCAUAGAUGGAGAAAUGUGCGGUGUCACCUUAUGGACAGUUUCCUGGGUUAUAACACAGCAUGUUGGCCCUGACUCAUGAACCCAAUCCAACUGCAACUAGUCCUAGUGAAAUGACAAGCAGUUGGUUCUUCUUUUGGGAUAUCAUUAUAUGGGACUCUAGAGCCCUGCAGAAACUCUUGUUUGUAAUGAGACAAGUCAUGUGGUACUGAAAUCUUGUGCUCUGAUGUGCUGCUAGAAUAGACAUGUAUGUCUUUGUUGCGUGGCAUUAUAUAUUUAUGGUUUCGGUAUAGAACGAUUGGGUUUGUGUAGGUAGUUCAUCGAAGAUAGAGAAAUGUGCUUAAA